rnacentral:rRNA from 1 species
GUGCCAGCCGCUGCGGUAAUACGGAGGGUGCGAGCGUUAAUCGGAAUUACUGGGCGUAAAGCGCAUGCAGGUGGUCUGUUAAGUCAGAUGUGAAAGCCCGGGGCUUAACCUCGGAAUCGCAUUUGAAACUGGCAGGCUAGAGUGCUGUAGAGGGGGUAGAAUUCCAGGUGUAGCGGUGAAAUGCGUAGAGAUCUGGAGGAAUACCGGUGGCGAAGGCGGCCCCCUGGACAGACACUGACACUCAGAUGCGAAAGCGUGGGGAGCAAACAGGAUAGAUACCCUGGUAGUCCACGCCGUAAACGAUGUCUACUUGGAGGUUGUGACCUAGAGUCGUGGCUUUCGGAGCUAACGCGUUAAGUAGACCGCCUGGGGAGUACGGUCGCAAAGAUUAAAAACUCAAAUGAAUUAGACGGGGGCCCGCACAAGCGGUGGAGCAUGUGGUUUAAUUCGAUGCAACGCGAAGAACCUACCUACUCUUGACAUCCAGAGAACUUAGCAGAGAUGCUUUGGU